rnacentral:rRNA from 1 species
GACGAACGCUGGCGGCGUGCUUAACACAUGCCAGUCGAACGGAAAGGCCCUGCUUGCAGGGUACUCGAGUGGCGAACGGGUGAGUAACACGUGGGUGAUCUGCCCUGCACUUCGGGAUAAGCCUGGGAAACUGGGUCUAAUACCGGAUAGGAGCCAUUUUUAGUGUGAUGGUUGGAAAGUUUUUUCGGUGUAGGAUGAGCUCGCGGCCUAUCAGCUUGUUGGUGGGGUAAUGGCCUACCAAGGCGGCGACGGGUAGCCGGCCUGAGAGGGUGGACGGCCACAUUGGGACUGAGAUACGGCCCAGACUCCUACGGGAGGCAGCAGUGGGGAAUAUUGCACAAUGGGCGCAAGCCUGAUGCAGCGACGCCGCGUGGGGGAUGACGGCCUUCGGGUUGUAAACUCCUUUCGCUAGGGACGAAGCUUUUUGUGACGGUACCUAGAUAAGAAGCACCGGCUAACUACG